rnacentral:lncRNA from 1 species
AGCAGAACAAUAGUGAUAGUUUUCAAUUGUUGUGCCGCAAGUUAACACCAAUUCACCUGCUUAAGACAACACAAAUGUAAUAUUUCCGUUUCUGUGGAUCAGGUGUCCAGGUCUCUGCUCAGAUCUCAGAAGGCUGAAAUCAAGGUGUCAGUCAGAGCUGCCAUCUCAUCGGAUGCCCAGAGCGAUUCUCCAAGCUCAUUCAGGGACUGCCCUUCACCACUUGCACCCAGCGUAAGUGGGACUGUCCAUCAGGAUGCUCCGUGGGAUGAUCAACUGACCCAUGCUAAGCUAAAGCUGCUUCUUGCCUGGAAUUUGAAAAUUGACAGCAAUAAUGCAAAGAGUAAAAGCAGUUGUUUAUUCAACCAAGGUUACAGAGUUCCCUGUUACUGCUCCAGAGCUUGUAUUUUUCCAAAACCUGCUUCCUUAGUUUUUCUUUCAAUUAUCUUAGGUACUCCCUAUCCUUCCAACAAAUUCCUUUUAUCUUCUUUAAUAUAUAAAAUUUUGAGCAAGACAAAUAAUCCAGAGAUUACUUGACUCCCAUGUCAAGCCCUGAUGACAACACAUUGUCUUCGGAGCCCUGACGAAGACUGGUAAGAUGAAAGGUGGCCCACCUGCCAUCUCUGGUUUCAUCCUUGUUGUCUGUCAAUUAUCUGGCCAGCUAUGUUGUCAUCCCCCAUUCAUAGGGCAAUAUAAAUAUUCUUCCUGCACAACAAACUGUCUGACCAGUUUGUGAUUUAACACCUUUCUCUGCAAUCUCUUAGCUUUUUUAUUGUAACAUGUAAAGAGUGUCCCCCCA